rnacentral:rRNA from 1 species
UACGUAGGGGGCAAGCGUUGUUCGGAAUUACUGGGCGUAAAGGGCGCGUAGGCGGCACAGCAAGUCGGGAGUGAAAGCCCGGGGCUCAACCCCGGAAUGGCAUUCGAAACUGCUGAGCUAGAGUACAGAAGGGGCAACCGGAAUUCCCAGUGUAGCGGUGAAAUGCGUAGAUAUUGGGAAGAACACCAGAGGCGAAGGCGGGUUGCUGGGCUGAUACUGACGCUGAGGCGCGAAAGCCAGGGGAGCAAACGGG